rnacentral:rRNA from 1 species
AGUGAACGCUGGCGGCGUGCUUAACACAUGCAAGUCGAACGAUGAAGUCCUUCGGGAUGGAUUAGUGGCGCACGGGUGAGUAAUAUAUAGUUAAUGUGCCCCUUAGUCUGGGAUAGCCACUGGAAACGGUGAUUAAUACUAGAUAUUCCUUCUUGUCAUAAGACAAGUCGGGAAAGUUUUUCGCUAAGGGAUCAGACUAUAUCCUAUCAGUUAGUUGGUGAGGUAACGGCUCACCAAGGCGAUGACGGGUAGCGGGUUUGAGAGGAUGAUCCGCCACACUGGUACUGAGACACGGACCAGACUCCUACGGGAGGCAGCAGUGAGGAAUAUUGCACAAUGGGGGGAACCCUGAUGCAGCAACGCCGCGUGGAGGAUGACGCAUUUCGGUGUGUAAACUCCUUUUAUAUGUCAAGAAAAUGACGGUAGCAUAUGAAUAAGCACCGGCUAACUCCGUG